UACGGGGGGGGCAAGCGUUGUUCGGAAUUACUGGGCGUAAAGGGCUCGUAGGCGGCCAACUAAGUCGGAUGUGAAAUCCCCAGGCUUAACCUGGGAACUGCAUCCGAUACUGGAUGGCUUGAAUCCGGGAGAGGGAUGCGGAAUUCCAGGUGUAGCGGUGAAAUGCGUAGAUAUCUGGAGGAACACCGGUGGCGAAGGCGGCAUCCUGGACCGAGAUUGACGCUGAUGCGCGAAAGCCAGGGGAGCAAACGGG
rnacentral:rRNA from 1 species